CCGCCGCCGCCGCCGUCUUCCCUCUCCGCCUUCCGCCGCCGUCAUGCCACGCCGCACCUCCACCGCCCCGCGACCCGAGACGGAGGCGGCGGCGGCGGUGUAGAUGGUCGUGGCGUGGUGGCCGUCGCGAGGAUUUCGGGUGCAGAGUACGGUGACUUGGGUGCCGCACUGAAUCUAUGAUUCGAUUUUACCUGUUUUGGUUGGAUGGAGGAGAACCGGAGAAGUGGCGUUUCGAGUCAGCAGGUUGUCUUUGAAACAUUUACUCAGGUGAUGUUGCCAGUUGCCACACUAUUAUAUACCAGUGGAACACCAAAAGGAGUGAUGCUUAUCUGCUGAAAUCUCUUGCAUCUGGUCGAAAGAGCAGUAACAUUCACUUCUUUUACCUGAAAGUAAUAUUGAAAUAUAAACUGUACUUUUCUUGAUGUGAUUUCUUGUCAUGUGAACAUCAGAACCCCUGUUCCUCUUCUAUCCAAAUUAAGUUCUAUGCAGUUAUGUUUGUAGAUGAAAACUUUCUGGGAUAGUAUUAGCAGUACCUGGUGAUAGUUUCCUAAGCAUGCUUCCACCAUGGCAUGUGUAUGAACGUGUUAUCAAGUACUUCAUCUUAGCUUAUGGAAUUCAACAUGUUUACAUGAUUGUCAAGUAUCUGAAGGUAACAUUUCAGGCAUCGUCAUAGUUAGUACCAUCAAGGGUCUUAUGAUGUCAUUAAGGAUUUAUUGCGACCAAUUACAUGACCUAAUGCUGUACUAUUCUUUAGCAGCUUACUGAACGCUGCAAAGUUGAGUUUGAUAUAUUAUAAGCAAAUGUAACAAUCGUCAGGUCCAGACCUUCUAAUCUACUUUAGGGAAACCCAAGUGUCAUACUUGAUAUGAUAGGGUUCCUUCCCUUUACAGUAUUCUCCUUUCUGGUCACUAUUUUCUAUUUCUUAUGAAGAUGCUGAUGUUGUUCAGGUGUUUUGACUUCUACUCUAUUGAUAGGAAGUUUUGCAACGGUACCAACCUCAAUACACUGUAUCAGUACCACUGGUCUAUGAGACUCUCUACAGGGAAUAGUCCUAUUGAGCAAUCCCGUCAAACCAUCAUUUAUUGUGCAUAUGGUCAAUUGGCUAUUGGCAAGAAUUGUUGCUGCACUUCUGUGGUCUUUGCAUAAUCUGGCAAAGAAGUUAGUAUUCAAGAAAAUCCAUUCUGCAAUUGGGAUUCCAAAGGUUCUUGGCACAGUUGGUACCCAGUAAAGCACACGGAAAUCAAGGUAGUGAGCAUAGAGAAUAGUGAGGUUCUCGCAGAUGGUUCAAAGGGGGUUGUGAAAGUCAGAGGACCUCAAGUGAUGAAGGGAUAUUACAAGGAUCAUUUUUUCCAGUUUACUGAUGCCAAGUUUUAACUAUAAAUUAAAUUGAGCUGUAAACAGUUGUUUGGGUCAAGGUGAACACAUUUUUGGGUAGAAAUGCACAUCAGAUUAUAUAUCUUGGUAAAGACAUAAUGCUGCAGGUCACAGAUAACACUUGCUUAUUGUAAACAUCAUAGUUGUAGCAAUGAUGAGGUUCUAGCAAUGGCUAAAAGAAAGCCUAUUCUUGAUGGGAAGCCAAAGGAUAAGUUUUGGAACUUUGUAUGUAAUGAGCUGAGAACUAUUUCUCUCCUGUUUCUUAUGAGCUCUGAUUUCUCUAGCCUAAUAGUCUAGAGAACUUUUGCUGAUUUUAUGAUGGGUCACAACUCACAAUCACAUUGGAGUUAAAUCUAUCACCUGAGACAUGAUUUUUUAAACAUUGAAGGACAGAGUAGGACUGUGUAAUUUGUUGUUGAUAUGUGCGAAUUAAAAACCUUACGAGUUACGAGUCUCGUACUCCCAGUCUCCCAUACCAAUACAGGGUUUUAGGUAUGGUGGCAUGUCGUAGUCGGAGAGGAAGGGUGUGUAGUUUAUAUAUGUUGAUUUAAUUAGAGCCAUGUUGAAUGUUUUGUUAAUAUAUAAAUGCCAGGAUGAUGGGUUGCUCCUUCCAAAUCAGCCCUAUUCUAAUUGUUAACGAAUCAUUUACGGUAAGUUUUCACCUAGUAAUUAUAUAGCUUUUCUUGCUAUCAAGUUUGACAGUACUUUUUUUUUUUUGUAUUCAGGUGGAUAAUGGUUUGCUAACAUCCACUUUGAAAAUAAGGAGGGACAAGGUAACAGCCAAAUAUCAUAGAGAGAUCGAAGCAUUGUACAAGUGGUAUGGAGUGGGCUUGAGUAAAACAUUACAAGUGGUAUGGUGUGGGCAUGAGUAUUUUCGUUUGUUCUUGCCUUAGGGGACAUCUCUGAUCUCUCGAGUAGAAGUACAGCAGCUAGUUCAGCAAUCAGCAUACAAUAAUGCAACCAUUUUUGUAUUAUUGUAUGCCAGUUUCGCUCAGCAAAUGAAACAGUAGAUCACUUGUUUGUGUCUUGUCCACUGGCUAGAUUUGCUUGCAAUGUGAUUGCAAGUGCUUUUGGACUUGAAAAGAUCAAUAGCAUUCAACACUUGUUGGAAGCUUGGUUAAAUGAAUUUGACAAAAAGAAGAAACAACUAGUUGCAGUGGGGAUUGCAGCCACACUGUGGGCAAUAUGGGAAGUUAGAAAUAAAGCAUGUUUUGAGCAUAAGAUGAUCUCACAUCCAAUAGAAUUGAUAUACUAUAUGUGUCACUGGAUUUCAUCCUGGUCAAUUUUGCAGAGGUCGGUGGAAGGCCAAAGAAGUCUACAAUGUGGGUUCGACACUUCGACUUGCUAAAGCAGGUUGCAAAAGAGAUUAUAUAAUUCCAAGUAUGGCUGGAACUUUGAUAGAAGACGGCUGGAGGUGUGAGACAAAUCAGCAAAGGAAGGAAACAGGGAAUCGACUGGAGGAACUGAAGCAGAGGAAGAGACAGGUUUUUGUGGCUGGAAGAACAAAGAAUGGGAAGAUCAUGGGAUCAAGUAGUUUUAGUUGUUCUUUUCGUCUAGUUAAAAACUGUACUAGCUCGUCUCCUUCUUUCUGUUUGGUAAUUGCUGUAUGCUGGUGUGGAGAUCACACAUAAUGGAGGGAUGACACUAUUUGUUGUGUGA